rfam:Dengue virus type 1 strain Hawaii 3' non-coding region, partial sequence.
CGGGGCCCAACACCAGGGGAAGCUGUACCCUGGUGGUAAGGACUAGAGGUUAGAGGAGACCCCCCGCAUAAC